GUGCUCACUUUAGUAUCACGUAUACUAAAUGUGGAACCAUACAGAGAAGAUUGGCAUAGCCACUAUGCAAGGAUGAAAUGCAACUUUGUGAAAUGUGCCAUACUUUU